CCUCCGGAAGAGUAUGCUUCUUACUGAGUUCCUGUUCCAGAAGAACAGAAAUGCUCUUUCUGCGUUGAGUUUGACUGCACACUCGGAGGAGAAAUCAGAAGCUUAGAGAAACACCAAGAAUCCCUCUGUGCUCUGUUCCAGCCUGUCCAAGGUUCUGACAUCUCAUAAGCUAGAGAGAGGAAGAGAGAGAGACAGAGAGCUGGACUGGAAGAGGAGCAACCGGGACAGAAUACAGCGCCCCAACCGGGACUAGAACCUGCAGUGCCGGCACGCAGGCGGAGGCUUAGCCUAGUGAGCGGAACCGCUGGGCUGUCACUCACUUCAUUGAUGCUGUUGCUGCUUCCGGUGCUGCUGUGCUUACUGGGAGGAAGAGGCGGGUCCUAGAUGGAGGGCGCUUGCGCACUCGGUCUGGUGGAGAUGGAGAGGAUGUAUCCCGCGGUGGCGGCGUGUUGUCGGCUGCUGUAAUUGUCAGCUUCCGGAGGCGUUUUCGGCAGCGGUACUGGCCCGGAGAGUGCGGGAGUGAAGAAAAGGUUACCUACCUGGAGCACACCGCAGAUCAACACAGGCCUGCUAUCCAAGCCUGGAGCCAAGAGAGCUGUCACCCACUUUUUUGAGGCUGCCUGGCCACUUCCGGUGCUGCUGUGCUUACUGGGAGGAAGAGGCGGGUCCUAGAUGGAGGGCGCUUGCGCAGUCGUUCUGUUGGAGAUGGAGAGGAUGUAUCCUGCGGUGGCGGCGUGUUGUCGGCUGCUGAAAUUGUCGGCUUCCGGAGGCGUUUUCGGCAGCGGUACUGGCCCGGAGAGUGCGGGAGUGAAGACAUUUUCAUGGAUAUGAAACUGGACACCGAGUUGACACAGAAGUUCAGCUGCUGGGUUUGGCGGCAGUGAGGGUGGGCAGCAGCUCAGCCAUGAGGAAGCCAGAAGUGGAUGUCUGCCUCCCCUCCUCCAUCCCAGAGGAAAAGGAUGUGAAACUAACCCAGAGUGGACGCUGAAGCUCAUCUUCCAAGCAGUCUUCAAUUUCCAGAGACUGCACGGCUUCCUGCCCAACCCCAGCUGGGCCUUCUUCCGGAGAGGAGCAACUGGUGACAGCACUGUCCAUCGUGCCCUCACAGCUAUAUUGCCAAGCAGCCAUUUGGAAGCAAGUCUUCCCACUACACCAGCCUGGCACAUUGUGUGUCCUCCAGAGGUACCAUAGACUGGCAGUGUAUCAAAUGGAGCCUGGCUAGCUGGACAGCAGUGACCAGUGAGACGUGACGAGACCUCAGAAGGAGAGUAUAUGUGUGGACUUAACCUCAGGCUCCUCUGCACCCUAGAUUUACUGCAAACACACAGGGACUGACCUGUAGGAAGAGAGUCUUGCUGAAAUCCUGAACCUGCGCUUGCACCUAUAGAGCAUCUAUAGCAGCUUUCAGCCUGGAUGCCUGUCACCAAGUCUUGGGCAAUGAGUGGAGCCACCUGGCUGUGGAGCUCAGCGUUGUGGACAGCUGGAGCAGAGUAUUUAGGUGAACAAUUGUGACUGGAGUUCUGGAGCUCCAGUCGAAUGGUGGUACUGGGAAAGUCAGCCUCAGCCCUUCCUCCAUUAACCAGAGCUUCCCCACUAGCCCUGGAAAGAAGCAGCUGCUCUUGACAGGAAAUGAAGACUUAAUGUGUAGUGUGGAUGGUCCCUGAUGUUCUCUGCUGUAUUUGUUAUGAUUUCUUGGAAAGACUUGAGUCUUUAAGAUACUCAGCAACAAAGAAACAAACAGCCCGGUUAAGAAAUGGGCAAAGGACUUGAAUAAGCAGUUUGCAAAAGACAGAAUCCAAAUGACCGACAGAGACAUGAAAAAGUGUUCAGGACCACUAGCCAUCAGGGGAAUGGAAACCAAAAUCAUGAGGUUUUACCUUGCUCCCCAGUUAGAAUGGCUUUCAUUCAGAAAUCAACAAGCCAACAGCUGAUGAGGAUGUGGGGAAAUAAAGUACCCUAAUCCACUGUUGUUGUGAAUGUAAACUGGUACAGCCACUGUGGAAGAUAGCAUGGAGAUUCCUCAGAAAUCGGAAUAUAUAGACUUAGUAAAUGAACCAGACAUCCCACUGCUGGGAAUUUACCGAAUGGAAAUGAAAUCAGCAUAUGAAAGUGUUACCUGUACCCCCAUGUUGAUCACAGCUCAAUUCACAAUAGCAAGAUAUGGAACCUACCCAAAUGUCCAUUAACUGAGGAACAAAGAAAUUAUAUGUACACUGGGGAAUAUUACACCAUUAAAAAAAAAAAACGAAAUCAAUGCUUUCAUUUGCAACCAUAUGCAAGCAAUUGGAUGCUUUGUGAAAUAAGCCAGUCUCAGAAAGACAAAUACCAUCUGGUCUCCCUGAUCUUUGGUGCCUAAAAGAGUACCUAAAAUGUAUAGAAGUGAAAUUGAAACUUUGAAAUGUGAUGACUGUGCUUGUUUCAUCUGCUGAGAGACAGAUGUUUUCCAUACUCUCUGUUCAACUCUUUACUUAGUGCAGGACUAAUUUUAAGUGUUUGAAGUUCAUUGAAAAUAGAUCUUAGUGAAAAAAAUAAGAAUGGGAAUAGGAGAGGGAAGAGAAAGAAGGGUGGAAGUUUGGGUGGGGAGAGGGUAGGAUGGAAAGAAUCACUGUGUUCCUCAAUAUGUAUAUAUAAAAUGCAGGAUGUUUGUAUACCUUCAAUAAAAGGUUUCCAGGGAAAGAAAAAAUCCCCCAAACCCCGAGUCGUACCGUUAGGAUUGACUGUCGAGGAACAGCUUACUAUUUUAUUCUUUUUAGUAUUUUCUUUUUCUACUCAAUACCUUUGGUUGAACUCUUUAAUUAACACAGAAUUAUUCUUAGGUGUUUAAAUCCAACUGAAAAUUGAUCCCUGUUAAAAAUAAGAGUUGGAGUAAGAGAGGGAGGAGGUAUGCAGUUCAGUACAUGCUAACUGAUCAUAAAGAUAGGAUUAAGAGUCAAAGGAAUCACAUAAAUAAGAAGAGUGUAUGCUAAUAAUAAUUGAUAGAAUUAAAAAUGAGAAAACAGUCCAACAUGGGAAGCAGGAUACACAGAAGACUAAUAGAAGGACAAAUGGCCAUAAACAGCACUCUGGCCUCAGAAUUAGCCCUUGAAAGACAUUGGGAUCUGGCUACAAAGCCCGUGAGAGUUUUUCAGGCAUGGAAAGCCAAGACACUGUGGCAAAAAUUGACCUAAAUGAACGACAUCUGUGAGUGAGAUCCUGAUAGAAAGAAGGGGCCAUCAAAGAGGGGGGUACUUUUCUCGGAAGGAGGGGAGAGAACCUGUCUACUUUGAUUAUGGCCUUGUCAAACAAGGUUGCAGUUUGUGAACUCAAGAGGCUUCCAUAGCCUUGGCAGCUCAUGACAAGAGCCUUGGGUGAUUACUUAGGUCAUAAAUAAGAAUGUCAAUUGUUAAAUCAACAACAGGAGUCACUUUGCACUUGCUUCCCAUGUAGGACCUCUAUCCUUAAUGUGUUGUAUUAUGAGAAUGAUUGUAAAACUAGUCUUCAAACAGUACUUUAUACUUUGUGUGUCUGUGUGGGUGCAAACUGUUAAAAUCUGUACUUAGUAAAUAGAGUUGAUCUUCUGUAUAUAAAGAUAAUUAAAAAUGAAUCUUAAUGAAGAAUGGGAUGGA